AUUGAACGCUGGCGGCAUGCUUUACGCAUGCAAGUCGAACGGUAACAGCACUUCGGUGGCUGACGAGUGGCGAACGGGUGAGUAAUACAUCGGAACGUGCCUAGUAGUGGGGGAUAACUACUCGAAAGAGUAGCUAAUACCGCAUGAGAUCUAAGGAUGAAAGCAGGGGACCUUCGGGCCUUGCGCUACUAGAGCGGCUGAUGGCAGAUUAGGUAGUUGGUGGGAUAAAAGCUUACCAAGCCGACGAUCUGUAGCUGGUCUGAGAGGACGACCAGCCACACUGGGACUGAGACACGGCCCAGACUCCUACGGGAGGCAGCAGUGGGGAAUUUUGGACAAUGGGCGCAAGCCUGAUCCAGCAAUGCCGCGUGCAGGAUGAAGGCCUUCGGGUUGUAAACUGCUUUUGUACGGAACGAAAAGCCCUCUUCUAAUACAGGAGGGUCAUGACGGUACCGUAAGAAUAAGCACCGGCUAACUACGUG
rnacentral:rRNA from 1 species